GGACGAGCGGUGCUCGGAGGCUGCAGCACCUUCUCCCAGCCGGACGCAGCUCUGUUUGCCGUGUAAUAAAGUCAUCUUGUCCAUAAGCAAGACUUCAGGACUGUAUCUAUUUGGAACUGUAAAUUAAUUAAAAGUAGGCACUGAUUAACCUCCCUCCACUUUGUUUCCUUGCCAGGGCAGCAAGGCUGCUCCCGGUGCAGCCCGCCUCUGCGUCCCAGCGAGCCCGGGGUUCGCUAAGGGCUCCCCUUCGCCUAACGAGCCCCUUGACAGAUUUCAGUUCUGCUUAUUUGUGA
rnacentral:lncRNA from 1 species